rnacentral:rRNA from 1 species
UACGUAGGUGGCGAGCGUUAUCCGGAAUUACUGGGUGUAAAGGGUGUGUAGGCGGGGUGGCAAGUCAGGCGUGAAAUGCGAAGGCUCAACCUUCGAGCUGCGCUUGAAACUGUCAUUCUUGAGAGUGGGAGAGGUAAACGGAAUUCCUGGUGUAGUAGUGAAAUGCGUAGAUAUCAGGAGGAACACCGGUGGCGAAGGCGGUUUACUGGACCACCACUGACGCUGAGACACGAAAGCGUGGGGAG